AAAAAAAAAAAAAAACCCACCCAAACCCAAAAACUUUCACGAAAACUCCCAAUCCCACGCCUAAGCCUUCCCUCCUCAGACCCUCAGACCCGGUGGGUCGGGCGGUCACUGUGUCAGUUUAUGGCCGGGGAGUUGGAGCUGGAAAAAAAAAAUUAAAAAACGAAUUUGCGGGUUCCUCGUGUCCUUUGGGCACCGGUGAGCUCGGGCUGAGAGCUGGACGGCCGGCCGGGAGCGGGAGGCACCGGGGGAGAGACGGAUCCCCUAACUUUUAUGAAUGAAAGACACAACGAAAGGAGAAUUAAGCCUCUGGAGAGAAGAUGCCCCGAAGGGAACGAUGGGCAGAAAGGAGAAGAGACCGCCGCCCAAAGCGGGCUCAGGUUGAGGUGGCCCGGCCGGGCUCGCCGGGUCCCCGACGGUGGGUCCCGGCCCCUUUGCCCGCCCUCCGCUAGUGCAUCCUCCUCGGCUGGGGUGAGCGCACAACCCCGCUAUUGCUUCCACAUGUUUCUCCAGGAAAUCAUCGGAGUCAGAUCUAGCGAGCAGCCCCUGGUCGGAAUGCUAACAGGAUACCGUAAUGCUUGUGAAUAAACAACAGGCUCCCAGUGAGUCAAAAGCAUGGCCCAAAAAAAAAAAAAAAACAAAAAAAAAACCACCCAAAAAACGGCGACAAACAAACAACACCCCCCAACAACAACAACAAAAUAACCCAGGAAAAAAAAAAAACCAACCGAAAAAAACACUGCACCCUGGAACUAUCUGCCUGGGAGAGGAGGGGCGAGCGCUUCCAGCACCCCUUAAUUUGGGGAAGGAAAAGUCUUAGCCUGACUUGGGCGGGAGCUGCAGAUUUAAAGCCCCGCGAAGUUGCGGGGGUUCAGACCGGCGGCAAACGACCGCCCGAGAGCUCCGAGGGGAUCCCGCCCCGGCCCCGCCGGGAUUUACCGUGUCCGGUUUAACGGUGGAGGUGAUUCCUGGCGAAGUAACCGUCAGGAUGGGAUGUAAUGCGAGAGUCACUCUUGCAAAAAAAAAAAAAAAAGAAAAAAAAAAGGAGCAAAAGGAGAGGAGAGGAGGCGCCUUCUGGUUGCAAUUACCUGCCUCAUUUGAAUAAUGCCUUUGUCAUGAUCAUUAUCGAGAGGUCGUUAACGGCUUCCACGUGGGAUCUCACAAGACCCAGCGAAAAAUAAAAAUUGCCAACCGGGGGACUGGUAAAGCUGG
rnacentral:lncRNA from 1 species